rnacentral:rRNA from 1 species
UACGUAGGGCGCAAGCGUUGUCCGGAAUUAUUGGGCGUAAAGAGCUCGUAGGCGGCUUGUCACGUCGGAUGUGAAAGCCCGGGGCUUAACUCCGGGUCUGCAUUCGAUACGGGCUGGCUAGAGUGUGGUAGGGGAGAUCGGAAUUCCUGGUGCAGCGGUGAAAUGCGCAGAUAUCAGGAGGAACACCGGUGGCGAAGGCGGAUCUCUGGGCCAUUACUGACGCUGAGGAGCGAAAGCGUGGGGAGCGAACAGG